GCCGAGUUAGUAUAAUUUUAGUACUUCGGAUUUCGGCUCCGAAUGUUUUAUCGGUU
rnacentral:tRNA from 1 species